UACGUAGGUGGCAAGCGUUGUCCGGAUUUACUGGGCGUAAAGAGCGCGCAGGCGGUCGGAUCAGUCGAAUGUGAAAGCCCCCGGCUCAACUGGGGAGGGUCACGCGAUACUGAUCGACUCGAAGGCAGGAGAGGGUAGUGGAAUUCCCGGUGUAGUGGUGAAAUGCGUAGAUAUCGGGAGGAACACCAGUGGCGAAGGCGACUACCUGGCCUGUUUCUUGACGCUGAGGCGCGAAAGCUAGGGGAGCAAACGGG
rnacentral:rRNA from 1 species